rnacentral:rRNA from 1 species
UACGAAGGGGGCUAGCGUUGCUCGGAAUUACUGGGCGUAAAGCGUGCGCAGGCGGUUUUGUAAGCCAGAUGUGAAAUCCCCGGGCUUAACCUGGGAAUGGCAUUUGGGACUGCAAGGCUGGAGUACGGCAGAGGAGACUGGAAUUCCUGGUGUAGCAGUGAAAUGCGUAGAGAUCAGGAGGAAUACCGAUGGCGAAGGCAGGUCUCUGGGCUGAUACUGACGCUCAUGCACGAAAGGCGUGGG